CGGUCCWGAUUCCUACGGGAGGCAGCAGUGGGGAAUAUUGCGCAAUGGGCGAAAGCCUGACGCAGCAACGCCGUGUGAGGGAUGAAGGCUUUCGGGUCGUAAACCUCUGUCGGAAGGGAAGAACGGGCAUUGGUCUAAUAGACCUUUGUUUUGACGGUACCUUUAGAGGAAG
rnacentral:rRNA from 1 species